AUUGAACGCUGGCGGCAUGCCUUACACAUGCAAGUCGAACGGUAACAGGUCUUCGGAUGCUGACGAGUGGCGAACGGGUGAGUAAUACAUCGGAACGUGCCUAGUAGUGGGGGAUAACUACUCGAAAGAGUGGCUAAUACCGCAUGAGAUCUACGGAUGAAAGCAGGGGAUCGCAAGACCUUGUGCUACUAGAGCGGCCGAUGGCAGAUUAGGUAGUUGGUGGGAUAAAAGCUUACCAAGCCGACGAUCUGUAGCUGGUCUGAGAGGACGAUCAGGCACACUGGGACUGGGACACGGCCCAGACUCCUACGGGAGGCAGCAGUGGGGAAUUUUGGACAAUGGGCGAAAGCCUGAUCCAGCAAUGCCGCGUGCAGGAUGAAGGCCUUAGGGUUGUAAACUGCUUUUGUACGGAACGAAAAGCCCCGGGUUAAUACCCUGGGGUCAUGACGGUACCGUAAGAAUAAGCACCGGCUAACUACGUGCCAGCAGCAGCCGCCG
rnacentral:rRNA from 1 species